GCUAAAUUUAGUGCCGCCUUGUCUUUUCAAGUUUUCUCCUUUUGUAUGUAAGGAAUCACUUUUAUACUUGGUGGCAUAAAUCU
rfam:Arabidopsis thaliana chromosome 1, complete sequence.